UACGUAGGUGGCAAGCGUUGUCCGGAAUUAUUGGGCGUAAAGCGCGCGCAGGCGGUUCCUUAAGUCUGAUGUGAAAGCCCACGGCUCAACCGUGGAGGGUCAUUGGAAACUGGGGAACUUGAGUGCAGAAGAGAAGAGCGGAAUUCCACGUGUAGCGGUGAAAUGCGUAGAGAUGUGGAGGAACACCAGUGGCGAAGGCGGCUCUUUGGUCUGUAACUGACGCUGAGGCGCGAAAGCGUGGGGAGCAAACAGG
rnacentral:rRNA from 1 species